CAAAACUGAAAGUAGUGGCACUGAGGAGCGAGGCUGACAUGUUCUCAAUGGAAACUUUAAAGUAAGCGGGGUGAGACUAGUAUUCAGUCGUCUAUUCAACAACAGUGGAUCGCUACUUCUUCUUCUAUAUGCCAGACAUGUAAUGACACCAUUUGGCCUGAGUAUCCACCUCCCGCUUUCUCUGCUGCCACACCUCGCUGAAUCCUUGGCCCAGAAUGCGACAUCUGACUGGCUGAUAUCCUGGCAUCAACUGGUUGGUCCUGAGAGCUGGAACAAAGGGUGUGCCUGGGUUCGUCAGAACCCUUCCAGGGCAGAUAUGAGUAAGGUGAAUGCAGGGGCCUCUCAGAGACUCACCUCCUCCUUUGAAGCUCAGAUGUAUUGGAGGGGCUUGCUCAUCCCAGAUGAUUAUGGCCGGACAGAGCCCCUUCACUCAUCAGAGCCACCCUGGGUUGUUGCUGUCGGUAGCACGUCAGUGUUUGCUUUGAGUUAUGGGUGGAUGAAAAGAAGCCUGUUUGGAGUAUCCCUGUAGAGGACAGAAUUCAAAUUCCAAGAUGACUGAGACUUACUGCCUAGAGUUCAGCUCCUAAGAAGGAACCAGUGCAUAGAGAGUAAAGCCACAAGUAAAACAUGGAUACUGGACAUACACACAAGGUCUCCCUUCCUUCCUGUCCCUUGGAUCUUCAAUGUCCUCUCACAGAGCAGGGGUUUAAAGGCUUGGUCCCCAGCUUGGUGAUACUUUCAGAACAUUGAGCUUUUAAGAGUUGGGGUCAAGUGUGAGGUUACUGAAGGGGGUCUUGGUUACUUUUCUACUGAUGUGAGAAAACACCAUGACCAACCAAGGCAACGUAUAGAAGAGUUUGUUUUGGGCUUACAGUUCCUGAAGGCUAGACUCCUUCAUGUGGAUAUGGCAGGUAGUAGAUAUGGUGACUGGCACUGGAGGCUCACAGCUGAGGUCUGAGAGCUCACAUCCUAAACUGUCAGCUGGGAACAGAAUUAACUUUUUCUCUUUGAAGGCUGUUUUUUUUUUUUUUUUCCAGGUGUUUGUUACAGCAAUGGAAAGCAAAUACUUUUCCUUCUUCCUCUUCCUUCAUCCAUUCUUUCCACCUCUCUUUUCUUCCUUCUUUCCCAUUGUUCUUUACUUUUUAAAAAAGAAAUUCUUUCCAAGUAGACAUUCUGAUAGGCUCUAGGGACUAGUGAAACAAAACAGGUUGUUAGCUGCUAAUAAGUGAAUUAAUUAGACUUUUUGAUUGAACUUCUUCCCACAAUCUAGCUGGGGUAUAAAAAAAAAGGCAGUUAGGCAAGAUGAAGAUGAAUGUACAGAGGCAAUAGCAAGGAAUGAUCUAGAGAGAUGCAGAAGAAUAUGCAAAGGCUGCAGGGCCAAAGAGGUCCUGAUGCUCAGAAAGUUGUGACACAUAAAGCCACUAAUGGUAAGGAAGAUACAUGGCCAUAUUUGAAUUUGGACAACAUGGCCCCCAGCUCCUAGGCAAGAGGAUUUUCUUUUUAACAAACGGCAUUUCUAUCAAGAAGGAUAUGGUGAUCCACUCUUAGAAAGUCAACUCCCUUUUUCAGGCCUCAGUUUCCCCAUAUGAAUAAUUUCUGGUUGACAGAUGAAUGUUUUCUUUCAACCUUGGAUGUUCUUUUAGCUCCACUUUAGCCUCUGGGCUGUCUGUCAGAUGGACAAUUCGGCCCAGAGAGAAGGAACUCUGUGUGUUUCAACCUUCUGAAUGGGCAUGUGACUCAACAACUAGAGAGUUAUUCCUGACAGCUCACGGACCCCUACCUGCAGGGGUCUAAAGGGAUGUGUGGACAACUCGUUCCUUUGGGGUGGUUGUACAGAGUGUGUGUCACACCGAACCCAUGUGCUGCGCACUCUUCUUGGCUUCAGCCUUGGUAUUGCUUACAAACAAUGGGAAACAGGAGCGACAACCUUGAAGUUCACUCCUUGGCAUCUACAGUUACAGCAAUUCAGUGUUGUAAAUUAAGCAGACUGCCCAGGGAAUGAAUGGAGCCUUGAAGAAACAAAAAGGGAAACGCCACACUAAGGUAUUCUGAUAGGUGUAAAAACAAGCCACGAAACAGUCCACACAGAAUGAAAACUAAUGUGGGUAAGUUCACCUUGUCUUUCUAACGAGCAUUUGUAUAAUUGGCCCACACCACGUGACCACCCAAGACUUGGCAAAGUCACUGUGGUGCCUUCCAGAUGGGGGGACAAUUGUUGAGGGGGGCGCUUGCCUCCUUGGUCAUAGCCUAAUAUUUUCAGAGAAAGUAUGUGUUUAGAUACUUCAUAAUAAGUUAAGGUAAAUGAAAAAGUAAGCCAGGCCCCUUGACAAUACUCAGGAAAACACUGCAAGAUUCACUACUGUAUAAGGCCCAUGGAAGGGGCUUAGUGUCACUUUCUAUUACAAGUUUCUAUGCUCAAGAGUCUUUGCUUUCUUUCAUGUCUCCUUUGUAACGGAGGCAAGGUCUCACUCUGUAGCCUGACCACCCUGGAGCUCAUUGAGUUGCACCUGCAUCUGCCUCCCAAGUGCUUCGAUCAGAGGCAACACACCUGGCUACGUUUUAAAUAAUGAGACUAUGGUGAUAUAUUCAUGGUGAGAUUUAAAAGGUGGUUUGUGUAAGUGUGAGUGUGUGUGUGUGGGGGGGGAGGGGGUUGAGAGUUCUUCCAAUUUAGCUUUUCUCCAGAGGAGCAGAGUGGCUCAGAACCCUCCAGGAACCCAUGUGACUAAACAGAGCUUGAGGUGAGUCAGUGACCCAGGGAAGAAGAGCCAUGGCUCCAUCACGUGCUAUCAGAACACAGCACACUGGUUUAUUUUGCAACCCAGGCAGGUCCUUUAACCACAGCCUGCUGGCCCGCCCCACAGGAUGGGGGCAGCCAGUGCCAACCCCCUUUCCUUGAAUGACUCACGCUCUUUCCCGCAAUCACUGGGGGAGGAUGUGGAGAAGUUGGUCUCCCAGGCAGAGGUAUAGCUCCUGCCUAGGGCCCCUGCUGGGCUGUUUGCCCUGGAGGCUGCAGGGCAUCAGAGGUCUUCAGAGAAGUUCCCGGAUGGAGGUUACUGCUGUGUGUGGAGAUAAUGCAACCAGACCAAAGAAGUCAGUGCCUGUGUGGUGUGUGGAGAUGAACAAGAGGCAAGGUUUAGGGGUGUCCUGUCAAACCUGGGGUGCCAGUGUUGCAUAGGAACUAGUUCACAUGCCCAUGAGGCAUGGUUUGCUGAGCCCAUUUCACAGAAGCUUGAAACCGAGCCUCAACCAAGUAAGUGACUUGUCCAAGUUCUCAGGCCCAGACUAGUGAGUGGCAGAGGAGGCGUUUCAAGCCAGGUGUGGCUGGAGCUAAAGCCAGGUGAUUUUCAUCAUUAGCUGGUUGCUUCCAGUCUGUGCUUCUUGGAGGCCACUUCUCAUGAACAUUCUCCAGUUUGCAGGUAGGAGAAAAGGUAUGGCGACGCAGACAAACAGGUCCACUAGGCUGGUACCCAGAACAACAGAUAAGAUCUUUCUGGGAGGUACCAGACUAGGAACUUUAUGGUCUAACGCUCUUUAGCCCUCACAGCAACUGAUGACUCAGUUAUCCACUUUACAGAUGGGCAAACCCAGGGCUUAGAGACUAAUCACAGCUAGGAAGAAGAAGAGGAAGAGGAAGAGGAAGAGGAAGAAGAAGAAGAAGAAGAAGAAGAAGAAGAAGAAGAAGAAGAAGAAGAAGAAGAAACAAUCUGCUUCUAAAUUCUUCCCAUUCAUAGUCUCCUCCACCAUAUGUGGAAUACCUGGUUCUUGAUCUUGCCCCCUCUUUUUUGAGAUGCUGAGGAUCAAAUCCAUGGUUCCUUUUGUGCUAGGCAAGCACUGUACCCCUGAGACAUGUCACCAGCCUCUCCUUUUCUUCCCAAGGCUGACC